rnacentral:lncRNA from 1 species
AAUCCUAGACUUGUCCCAUACUAAAAUAAGAUCUUUACCACAAUCUCUUUAUGGGUUGUCGCAACUGCAAAGACUCUUUCUGAGAGGCUGUAAACUCUUCAUGGAGUUGCCACCUGAAGUCGGAGAACUCAGUAAUCUUAAGAUGUUUGAUCUCGAGGGGACUGAAAUCAUAAGGCUACCUAUGGAUGUUGGAAAAUUGACAAAUUUAACCUGCUUGAAAAUGUCGUUUUAUGGGGAUAAUGACAACAAAAAAGAUAACCAAUACUCAAACAGGAUAAUUCCUCAGAGUGUGAUGUCCAAUCUAUCUCAAUUGGAAUAAUUAAUCAUAGAUGUGAAUCCCGAUGAUAAGCAAUGGAAUGCCAAUGUGAAAGAUUGUAGAGGAAGUGUGCAGCUUAAACCGGUUGGAGGCUCUUCAACUUUACUUUCCAGAAGUUUCACUUUUGAAUAACUUGAUGGAUGGAUCAUCAAUAAACCUCCCAGGAAUGCACUUUAGAUUUACUGUUGGUAACCAUAUGAAUCGCAUAAUAUCUCGACUACCACUUGAAGCUGCAGUUAAAUUUGAAGAACAAGAAAGAUGCUUGAAAUAUGUGAAUGGUGAAGGUGUCCCAACUGAAAUUAAGGAGCUACUCUAGCUUGCUACUGCAUUGUUCCUGGAUCGCCAUUUAACUGCCACAAGUUUAUCUGAGUUUGGGAUUAAAAAUAUGGGGAAUCUAAAAUUUUGUGUAUUAGGUGAAUGUGAUGAGAUUCAAACCAUUAUAGAUGCAUAUGAUGGAAGAGAUGUUGUACUUGGAUCACUAGAGUACUUGAAUCUUCAUUAUAUGAAGAAUUUAAGGAGCAUUUGGAAGGGGCCACUUAUAUUGGGUUCCCUAUCACAUCUAAAAGCUUUGGUGUGGUAUACAUGCCCCCAAUUGACUACCAUUUUUACUUUGAAUCUGUUUCCUAAACUCUAUGAGUUAGAGGAGCUUGUAGUUGAUGAUUGCCCCAAAAUUGAAAGCAUAGUAGUGACUCCUGAUCCUACUGCUACUGAACCAAUGUUGUGGAGGGCAAGGUAUUUAUUCCCAAAGUUGAGGAAGAUAUCACUUCAUUACAUGCCUAAACUGGUCAGCAUUUCCAAUGGUCUACGCAUUUCACCAAUAUUAGAAUGGAUGAGCUUCUAUGAUUGUCCAAGCCUCAAAACUCUUUCCCCAGAGGAAGUUCACAGUAAUGAUUUGAAGGUGAUAAUAGGAGAGGCAAAAUGGUGGAGAGAAUUGAACUGGAACAAAUCAAAAUGGCCUCAGCUACCCAAUCUGGAUGCUAUCUUUCAUCCAAUUGAACAGGACACUUAUUUCAUUACACGUCUAGCAGAAAUUGACGAUCAACUUCAAGCUAGGAUGCAAGAAACAGAGCUUUCUCAACAGUCAGGUUGUUUUUCCAUUCCUCUUUUUCUUCAAAGAUAAAACACUGAUCUCCAUUUUAUCUUACCUAAACUUGGUCAGGUUAUUUUGUUUUGACAUGACUUCUUUAGUUUCAGGAUAAGCUAUGCCUACAUAGACAUUUGAAUGAAGCAGAAAUUCCCCACAACAUUUGUAUUACCUACGUCCAAGUUUCUUAUUCAGCUCUCUCAUUUUUGGUUUUUUUUCUUGUUGAUGAGGGACAGGUCCUGGUGACUCCCUGAAGGCUCCAGCAGUCAAGGGUGGAACAAGCUCAAAGCAGAAGCAAGUUGCUUAGUUUUACCUAUUCUGUACUAGUUAAGCUUGAGCUACGUAUUAUGGCUAAUUUCCCGACAGCGGCUUACUGUCUUAUUCGUUGUUGUUUGUUUAGUUAUUUCAUGUUGUGCUUGGUUGUGGAGAAAAGGAAACUCAGAACCUUACAGAGACAUUCUUUGGAUUAUCAAACCUUACUUUUCUAGUCUCUUUGAAUAAGUGGUGAUGUGAACUUGCUGUAUGCUCUUGAAUUCAAUAUUCGAAAUCACAUCCUUCAGUUUGAUGUGUACUUAUUGUUUGGUCUGAUCAGCAACUGCUUGAGCCUUUAGCAAAGAAUUACUUAUCAAAUUUGAAUUUUCAAGAGGGACAGAGUAGGUUAGAGGAGGGAGCAGUUCAGUUGCAGCUACAUCAAAACUAAUUUAUAUAUGUGCUUUGGUAGAUAUAAGAUCUGCUUGUACUAAAUUCUAGUAGUUGAUUGCUAAUGUUAAUGGUGUGAGGAAAAUUGUGAUUAAAGUUAAUUUUUUUCUUUCUUUCUUUCACUUUUUCUUUCCUUUAACUUUUCCUCUCUAUGUUCUUAGAUUCCCUCAUAUUUUUUCUUAAAUUUUUUGAAAACCGAACAUAGCCUUAGAGGAGCUAUUAAAGAUCUAAAGGACGUUUCAUGAUUGAGUUAGUAGAAAUUGGUAAUCAAGUUCAUGCUUUGGAGUCAAUAAACAUAUGAUAAACAUGUACAAUUUUCUUUGACUAUCAAAUACUUUGAUGUUAUCUUCAUUUGAGUGGUUUGAUAUAUCCACUCGUACUUCAUAACCCAUUUUCACAUAAAUAAAUAGUAAAAAAAUAAAAUAAAAUGCAAGAGAAAGCUCACAUGUGUGGCAAGCUAUCAUACAUACAUGCAUGUUUUACCUAUGAUCAUACUAUCUCUUGAACAAGCAUUCGAUGAAUCCAUCAAGCAUCACCUAUGCCUUAUCAAAAGGAUUUGUUGAGAAUAUUUACUUAAGAUGAAGAAAUCCACAAAUCUUGCUAAGUUUUAUGUAUGAAUUUUAGCUUUGAUCUUCACUUUAGAGCAUGCCUUUGAUGUAGAAGAGUUUAGCCACUAAUGGAGAACUUAGUCAUCAUUCACCUUGUUUGGUAACCAAGAAAAUGGUAGAAAAUAAUGGAAAGUAGAGAAAAAAAGGGAAAAUCUAAAUUCAAAAAUUGAAAACUCAACAUGAUUGUCUUUAGAAUGUUCCAAAAAAAAAAAACAAUAAAUAAAAACUUCACAUUUCUAACAACCAAGCCUAAGUGUGGACCCCGCAUUUCGAUCGCUCGAAUGCGUUUCUCACUCGAUGGCGAAACUCGAUUUUUAUUUUGAAAAAUUGAUUUUUAUUUUAUUUAUUAGAAAAUGACUUGGAGUCGCCACUUAUUUUUGUUUUAUUUUUUUAAAGGGUAAACAAAAUAAGAAAGAAAAACCCUAAGUGUGACUCCUUAUUUUGGAAAAGACGGCCUGUGAAAAACCGGAUCGGGUUCGGGGGUCAGGUUACUUAUCGGGAAGGUACGGUAAAAACCGUAGCACCCCUCUAAGUCCCUAAAGUCGGGUCUCUACUAAUGAGAUGAAGCUAACGUGGCAAUGAUGAGGAAAUCAAUGAGUACUCAGCAUGAUCGCACAUAUGAGAAUCAGUACAUGCAUGGAGAAUUACAAGAAUGGGAGUGGACACGUACCUAGGUGACAAGCCGCCAUACGCUAUCAAGAAAUAGGGUUAGAGCACAGUUAAGAAAUAAUCUCAUGCAUGUCACAGAUCAGAAUAAAUCAAUCAUGCAUGGCAAUCAAAUCAAUCAAUCAGUCAAUCAAUCAUGAAGUCAAGUAUGUAGGGCCCCCACCAAAGCCUGUUCAUUUUUGCAUGAAUUAAUUCCAUAAAUACCAUUAUUUGGAAUUACGGAAUUUAAUUCUUACUUAUUUUAAAAACAUUUGAAAAAACAAAGAAAAUGCAAAAGUGGCUUGCCGAAAAGAAAAUGGCAACCAAAUUUUAUUGAAAAUGAGAUUUUGAAACCUAAAAACCAUAAAGAUGAAAAAUGAGAGAGUUGGAAUUAUUUGAAAAGCUAAAUUUGAGGAGAUAUUUGCAAAAUGUGAUUUGGAGCAAUUAUUUUUCAAAAACAGAGAUGAGAAGACAGGAGAUUAUAUGCAGCCCAAAGAUGAUCAUUUCAGGCCCUUCAGAGUAUGCCUUUAGGGACUCUGAUUUGAGAAACUGAAGCUGCAUCUGUAAACCAUGGUUGCCAGCACUGACACCCUCAAGGCAUUCAGAGUCGGAUGAAAUCUCUCCUUUGAAUGAUAAUUCCGAAAUGGAAACUGGGCUUGGCUAAUAAGCCUCCUCUAAGCUCAUAAAAGAUUAAGGGUUUGUUCCGGUGCAGCGUGAGGAAACUGAACCUCCACCGGAGGAUCCAAUUGAUGCUUCUUCUAGAAUUGGAGCCAUUGAGUCACAGCCUAGCAGAAUCUCCAUCUCUCACCAACAAGAUGUCGGCUAUUGGUUUGGACUGCUGCUUAUUGGUGGUUCCAAACGACAAGCCAAUAUCCUCAGUUUCAAAAUCAGCCGCAAUGUUGGCAACGACACCUCAGGAACCCCAUAACUUUGUUCAGACAGAUUAUUCUCCUCAAUUUUGUGCUUCAGUUCACUCAAGAUCACACAAACUUCUUGUGCAGCACAACUAUUUCUCUGAAUCCAAGAAAGGGAUGGACGUAGACUUCUGAGAGCCUAGUCUUGAGUUUCUGGGUCCUGAACGUACUUGCAACCUCCUUGAUGUUUUUGUAAGCUCAUCUUUUACACUUCCCGGAACAAGUCGGCGAAGAGCAAUGCAAGGAUGAUGGGAUAGGCCUGACUCCUGAAGCUUCUAGAACUGAGUCUUCCCACUUGAGAUUCUGAAAACAGUCUCCUCUGAGAAAGGAGUUAACCAAAGCUGAAGGAAACGGUUUGAGGUGUUUCGGCUGAUGAUGAAGGUUGGGUACUGAUGGAAAUGAUACGAAAGAUAACAAAUAAGGUUGGUGAUGGAUAUCAGGGGGCAUGAAGAGCGAACAGUGGCGUCAUUCCUAUGUAUACGGGUAAGAAAUGGGUAAGAAAUAGGCAUUGACAGAUGAGGGUCUAAAGAAAGGACAUAGGUGUAAUGAUACGGCUAGGGAAAGUGGAAGUGGGUAUGAAUUAUGGCUGUUCUAGCAGACUUUUCAAACCGUCGUCCAAAUGAGUUUGCAAAAGGUGGUGAAUUCAAAACAUCCAUGCAAUGAAUAGUUGACUGAGAAGUUCACAAAAGAGGCGAAGUGAGUUCCACGAGUCCUAAGGAUCUACUGGCCUUCCACUCAAAUCAACAUGUGUCCCAUCCAUAGCAUCACCACAGGUUGGAUCAGGAUAAUGCAACAUCAAACGUCCCGAACUAUCAGUAGUUGUUGCACUAGUAUAAACUCAGGCAGCUACCCCAUCUUCUCUUCUGAACCGUAGUCGACUGGACUCGACUCUCGGCCGUGACAAUUGCGUUCGCCGCUGCGUUCAUGGUCUCUACGCUAUUAUUCACACUUAUCAUCUUCCUUAUAAGUCACAAAAUCCCCAUAUUCUCAACUCAAACCUCCUCCGGCACUGAAACUUCUAAUUCCGGCUAUUUGUGCUUAAAACUCACUAUAAGAAGCAGCAAGUUUUCCGACGAGAUUCCGAUAUGGAGCUGUGAGUCCGAAGAGAACCAUUCUGCUUUCUGGUUUGGAGAGUUUUUGGUCGGAUUCGUCAUGGGUAAGAGCAUCCACAGCAACAUUAUUAGGAUUAACAAUCCCAUUCACCGCCCCGAUACAACCCAUACUGACCAUAAACCUACUGGCCAGAGAUUCAACGCCGUCCCCAUCUCUCAUUACAUAGCUCAUCAAAUAAUUGCAGUCUAGAUCCACUUGAGACUCGUCUUUAUGAAUUACAGAAGCUCCAAAGUUACGUCCAAUGCUACGCGUAAGCUGGUGGCACAACCUCUUUAUGGAACAGAGGAUGAUGAUCUUAAAAUCCCGUUCUUGGGAUCUGUGAGUCUGUUCCAAGCGACUGCUGAUGGAUUGACACUCAACCAUAGCACUUGAGGGACCCCCCACAUGGCGUAAAGUAGUCCACUUCCAGUCUGUUGCACCUCUAAAUUAUGGGGUUCCGCAAAUUCAGCUUGUAAAUUCAGCUAGCUCAGUCUCCUCAAAUCCUGGGUUGACUUGUAAAGCCUCUUCAACUUUUUCAUAUGUUUCAGUGACUAGAUUACCUUGCUCUUUCAUUUGAACGGCUCCAACCUCUAACUCCUUGAUAGGCCACUGCAAAUUUUAGUGACUUUUCUUCACCAGAUAUGCACUGCCCGCAAUAUCCACUUGUGAAUCUGUGAAGUUACCAAACGCAAGAGACCCUAUUCAUUUGAUUCUCAAAACCCAUAAGACAUACCCGCCAGCACAUGAGGAUUAGGAAUUGGUUUCAUCAAGCAUCUCUGCUUCUUCAGGCUGGCACUUUUCCAAACAGCCAUGCGCAUUUGCUUGGAUCACAACUGUCGAACAUUCCGAGCAUUAAGCUAUGUGCUUACAAAUAUGACAUGAGGGAAAUUCCUCCACCAUCCAUACAUGUACUAACAGCAAACAGUAGCAUCCUCGGUACCCAUACAUUAAUACUUGACCCUCAAAUCUGAAGGAUAUUCUGAAUAUGAAGCGGGUUGUUUCCUUAUGAGCUUUCCGGUCUUCUCAUGCCAUGAGGAAGAAUUAUUUAAACGGUGGUCAGGGGAAUGAGUUCAUAGGGUGAUGAAAUAAAUGGGUUUGGGGAAAAUGAAUGAGGAACGGGUUAGAUGGCAUUGGGUUUGGUGGAUGAAGCAUGGAAGAUAAGAUAGUGUAUGAUAGACAGCCGUGCAUGCAUGAGACUCCACGUACGUGACAAGAUCGAAGGCAAGCGGGUGAUGAGAGAAUGAUACAAAGGGUAAUGGAAAGUGAUGAAGGAAAGUGGGUUCAAUGAUAAAACGGCUGCAGCAAGGGGCAUAUUGAGUGAGUGAGAGUGAUGACAUAGUGCAUGGUGGUGUAGAGAGAGAAAGUAGAUUAUUGGUGAUGGGUAUGAGGGCAUGAGGACUGAUCAAUGGGCAUGACGAGGUCAGAUAGGUGGAGCCACGCUGGUGAAAUUGUAAUGGACAACAUCCUGCUUAUCCAAGCACUUCAUCUUGCCAAUGGUGGGUGUUAAUGAACCUUAGGUAAUUGGAGCUCACAUCAAACAUAGUCACCAAUGCUGUGGUUGCCAUUGACGUUCCCUGUAGCUUUCACCUUCUUGUUAAUUUCUGCAUGCCUAAUUCCAUCAUUAUCAACCUUGAAAUCGUGCUUCCUCUCAAUGCCUAUGUUGUCUUAAUUUUCAAGACACGAUAGCAAGAUCAUUGGAUACUUCAAUCACGACAGUUGGGUGGGCACUUGCAGAACUAGAGAGCUUGGAGUACCCGGACAGGGGUGUGAAAGAAACCUUGAGACUCCAACCAGUGGUUCCUCAACUCAUCCCUCAUAAGUCCCUGGAAGACUGUACAAUCAAUGGCUUCCACAUCUCUCAAAAGUCCCGAGUCAUGGUAAGCGUAUAUGCCAUAGGGCAAGACCUUAAUGUAUGGACUGACACAGAGAAGUCCUUCCCUAAAAGGUUCAUUGGAAGCAGUAUAGAUCUCCAUGGAUGCAACUUCGAACUCAUCCCAUUUGGCUCAGAUAGAAGAGAAUACCCAGGAAACGUAGUGAAAAUUCUCCAUGUUGGCUUAAUGAAGUUGAAAGCCAGCUGAAAACUAAGACUCCACACAUUCACCGAGAUUUUUGAACAAACAUCAUGCUGCUCUCCUUAGUAACUAACACACUCAAAGACCAUCAAUGUGCUGAUUUGCUUUCUAAAGAAUGAUCAAUAUUUUCUCUGCCCCCUCGUAUUAUCAACUUGCUGCAUUUCUCUGAUUCCUCUUACUGCUUUACCAAAAGCCUUCGUUUAUAACAUAGUGAUCCAGAAACCUUCCCCAUCAUUCACCUUUGCAUUGACCAAACUUUCCUUACUUCAGUUUAGAAUCACCAUUAUCAUGGAAUAGCAUUCCUCUUCGGGCAGAGAUGGGAAAUCUGAGGCAUGACAGGGAUGGGUACCAGGAACAGGGGAAGGUGGAGAAACAGAGCAUAAAAUAAAAUGAGUAAAUAAAGGAAGCCUCAGAAAAUUCACUUCAUAGGUCAUCAGUGAAUCCUCCGAGCAGGUGAGUAAGACAACCAGGGGCAUGAUUCCUGGGCAUUUCAUCAACACCAUAGAGACACAGCAAAUUCAAAAUGGACAAUGGCAAGCAUGAAUGCAGGGUUACAUCUCAACAAACAAAUUGGUGGCCUUCAUUACCCACCCAAACAACAUAGUGAUGCGUAAAACAAUAGCAGCCUGAGGAAAUUAAACAGUGAAUAACUAAAAACGUGAGGAUGGUAAUAUCCAUACCUGAGUUCUUCAAGAUGAUGAUGAUCCAGUUUCUGCCCUCUCCUCAAAUGGCAGAAGAGGCGUCCUCUCCAACUUCAAAAAAACAAUGGAAUCUCUCCUCUCCUCAAAUCUCUCUGAAUCCUUCUUUUUUUCUUCUCACUCAAAAGCUCUCUGCAGCCCCCCCAAAAACCAGCUUUUUCCUUCCCUUUACCCCAAAAUAACCAAACAAAAGCUCCUCCUCUCUAAAAGAUCUCUGCAGUCCCCUCUAAAAGCAACCACCUCCUACCUGCAGGAGACGCUCCUCCUCUAACAGAAACGCACUCCUCCAAUAACAGACUCUGAAUCCCCUGCAUAUCCUCCAAUAGCUGUUACUUUCUCAUUCGUCCAUCAGCUCCACUAAGCUGAUUCCACAGCCACCAACCAGGAGGCAACACUUGGCUUUCAAAGAGCCCUCCAGCUGGCAAGUGAGCUGCAAAAAAUGAAAGAAAAAAAAAGUGCCCCUAAUAGGGGUCUACACUAAGUGUUCAAACUUGGUCAAAAAAAUUAUACCAAAUAUCAUAUCUCACUAGUUUGAGCUAACAAUAGGCAAAAAAAUGUCUGGUAUCAAAAUGCUCUAAUACCACUAUACAGAUUUCGAUAGCAUCUCAACAAUCAUCUUCAGAAUCCAAGCAAGCCUUCCAUUAAGAACUUCAAUUUUUCUCCGACUUCAUAUGUAAAAUUUGGGAAAUAGCAUCAUUCAAAGGGAUUGCAUGUUCAUCACUUUGUCCUACCUUCCAAACCUCAUACUUUGAAGCACCUGCAUUAAUUUCACUCCAACGCCUCAAUAAUGGCAAUGAAAAUGGCCCAGGUCUCUCACCAAGAGGACUUAGACAGUGUCAUGCUUCACUUUCAAGCUUAGAUGACCUUUGUUUCUUACUUGCAACCUUGAGACUCUUCUCAUCAUAACCAUCAUCUCUCAUCCUAGAUUGGUUAUGACGAAUCUCAAAAGAUUGUUUCUUUUCUUCAACAACUACAAAUAAAUGAAAAGAUGCUUGAUUAAACUUGUACUUGAAUCUAUGAACUAAAAAAAUGGUCAAAAUCAAAUUAAAAAAAAAAAUAUAAGAGAAUUUCAAUUUUUAAAAGUCUAUAAAUAAAGAAUUUUUUUAAAAUAUAUAUCUUAAUUAAUGCAUGCCAUGUGGUCCAACCUCUAAGAGAAAAAGACUUCAUGUAGGAUUUUUGGCAUAUAUAAAUGCACAUACACAAAUGUAUAUACAUGUGUACAUAUACAUGUGCAUAUUAAAUUAAAGGAGUUUAAAGAUAUUUAUAACCAGAUAAUUUCUAUAAGAUUACUUCCCUACAUCAACCAUGCAUAUUUUUAAGAGCAUAUUUUUACACUUUCUCCACAUAUGAUUUAAAACAAUCAUUUUUUAUUUUUUUGGAAAAUGUAUAUUUUGAUUGCAAAUCUAAUUUACUAAUUGUAAAACAUUUAAUUAUUAAGUGAAUCAACAGAAUCAUUAGAAUUUUUUUUUUCUGAUUUUAACCAAAAUCAAUUUUUUGGACACUCGUAAAGUAGAAAGAAAUUUCAUUACCUUCAAAACUAUCCUUUGGAUAUUCAUUGGGCCCAUGAAUAACAUUGCUCAAGAGGAUUGCCUGAUCUUUGCAUUCUUCUACCUUCCAAACCUUAUAUUUUAAAGCGUAAGGAUUAACAUCACUCUAGCUUUUAAGCAUAGGCAAUGAAAAACGCCCUGCACUUUCACCAAGAGGACCUUGGCAACGCCAUGCUUCACAUCUAGGCCUAGUCUUUGUUGUUUCUUUCUUGUUUCAUCCUUGUGAUCCUGUUAGUUGUAAUUUUUAUUCGAGUCAAUAUAUUGAGCUCCUAAUGGCUCUUGCCUUUAAGGGAAAAAUAAGGCUUCAUUUCACAUAGAUUUAUUUGAAGACUUACAUCAAAUCGAUCCAUGGGAGUAUGAGUCUAAAUUGCUAAAGCUGCUUCCAAGAUUAUAAACUAGAUUACAAACUAAAAAAGAAACAUAAACUAAUUAAAGAAAAAACAUGCAAAACACUUUCGUUAAUAGAGGACUCAAAUUCUACAUUCUUAACCUUUCAAUAACUCCUUCUAUAGGGGAGUCCGAGCUGGAACUCAAACCUCCUAAUAAUUACUUACCAUAUUUAUUAGUCACAAUUUAAAUUUUUCAAAGGAAUCCUUCAGCUUUUAUAGGAUCAACUUUUUUUUAGAAUCUUGUUCAGGUUUUAUCGAGAAUCUUGUUAAACUUUUUUAGAAAAUUUUGUUCAAGUUUUGCAAGGAAUCUUAUUAAGCUUUUUUAAAUAAUCUUGUUCAAGUUUGGCGGAAUCUUAUUCGACUUUCACAAAGAAUUCAGUUUUUAUAAGGAAUCUUUCAACUUUUACAAUAAAUUUUAUUCAGCUUUUGCAAGGAAUUUUCAUCAUUUUUUUUAAGAAAUCCUAUUUAGUUUUUCAUUAGAGUAUGGGUUUCUUAGGUGGUCCCCUUCAAAAUCUUCCUAGUCAUCCCAGUCAUCAAAAUCCUCAUUAUCAUAAUAGCAACGAAUGGAUCAUGUCUAUAAUUGAAUAAGCGCUCUAUGAAUAUCAUAGUCAUAAAAUGUGGUUAACUAGCAAAAUUUAUUUUAUUAAUUGUCUUUUAAAGACUAGAUUUUUAUGAGCUUCCUUUUGAUACUUUGGCAAUGGGGAAAUAAAUUUUCAAUGGGUAAAGAGCAAUGCCCUUUUCAUCUCUAUGGCUAUGAUCCAAUAAGGUCUUACCUUAUUAUUAUUCAUUAAGGCACAAGAUGAAGAUGACCUAGACGCACUUCAAAAUAUUGAUGCUUUUCAUUAAUAAUUCCAUCAAAAUACUAUUAGUCAUCAUGAUAUAAAGAAAAAAGACCAAAAUUAAAUUAAAAAGAUAAGAGUAUUUCAAAAUUUUAGAGUCUAUAACUAGAGACAAAAAAUAAGAAAAAGAAAAACAAAAUGUAUCGUUCACCCGCAUGUGUGUGUCAUAUGGAUUUUGGACAUGUAAGUAAACAUAUGUAUACACACACAUACAUAUAUUUUUAUUGUGAAAAUUGUUAGUAAAAUUUUUAUUUUGAAAAUUAUUGUUCCGAAAGUGCUAAGAAUUUUCACUACCAAAAUUAUUUAUUUGAUUAUUGUUCAUUGGUCGAUUGUUGAGUUGAUUGAAAGUACCUUGAUUUUUCUUUUAAUUAAUUGAUGUUUUGAACUACAAUAUUUGCUGAGUCUUGUAAGGAACACCAUUUUUUAUAUCUAAAUAACUCUCUUGAAUCAAUAACAUACGUUUAAAUUCUCCUAUCCUAAGUUCAAAAAUACCUAUAGAAUUUUAAAUUCUCCUACAUCAAUUUCACCAAUACCUCCAGGUUUAGUGCUGAUAGAUGUCACAAAGGAUUCAAUCUCAAGACUUGAACCACUUUGGAUAUGCUUGAUUUGCUCUUCCCAUGGUACCAAAUGGCCAAUUUUUACCAAGUAUCUAGUCAUUAAAAGUGUACCUUGUUUUGUAGAUUGAAGUUGAAUUCGAUGCUGGCUAAUUGAGAGGUGAACAACUUUUCCAAGUAGUCCCAAGCUGCAAACGAGGCUUAAUGGUAAUGAGAAAAUCUAUAAUUCAGAAUUGUCUGAUCAUGCCCUUGCCGUCGCAGAUAGAGGAUUAAUAGUAUUGAAGUAUGGGAGAGUUUUUGACAUGAUCUUCUAAAUCAUACUUCAUUUAUUGUGAGAAUUUGAGAUACCCAUAAUAGAUAACUUGUGUUGAUCAAGCUUAACACUGAGAAAAUGGUCAAGAGGGUUUGAUGGAAGCUAGGGUGGCUAGGCUAAUUGAAUUUCAGCAGCUAGAUUAUCCUAAACAUUGAAGAAGACUGGGAUGUUUGAUCUCUUGUGAAUGAUGCCAUUUUUAAGCUAAUGAAAUUGAAAACUGAAAAAUACAAAAGUUGAAAUAGAAUUAUCUAAAGGAUUGCUAAACUAAUUGAUCCUAAUCCCUGGAAACAAGUCAAUACUCAUCAAGCUUCAACUUGGAAGUUUUCCUGGCCACGGCGAAGUGUGAAGCUCGAGGUCAAAGGUAGGUGGAUGCCGGAGGAAAAAGGGCAAAGUGUGAGGCGUAGGUUGAUGCCGGGCGUUGGCUGUAGUUUCAGCCUGAAACAGAGAAAGGCUAUAGAAAGAAAAAAUGGAAGAGUAACACCUGGGAACAGAGGAAUUAAGACAGUCCACCAAAAAACAGAGGAACCCUUUUUCUUUGACUUUGUAUUCUCGGUUCUGAUAUUUUUUGUUGUACAAUCACUAGAUUUCAAACCAGAUGCAAAGAGAUUUAACUUGAGUAAAUCUCUCCACGUGGAAGCAUGACAACCACUCAAAAUAACCUAACACAGCAUAGGCACAUUAUGUUACACCGGGGGAAGAAGAGCAAAGUGUGAAGCGUCGGUGGAUGCCGGAGGAAGAAGGGCAGAGUGCGAAGCUUGAGAUCAAAGGUAGGUGGAUGACAAAGGGGUAAUUCAAUGGCCUGAGAAAGUAGUACACCCACCCCCUAUCGAUCAUCCCUUCCGGUGGUAGUGAGGGAUGGACCCCAAGAGGAGAAAGACCCAAGACUUUGCGGACAAGGCUGAUUCCACUGCUACGGAUACUGGGAAUUCGGGUAUAGCGGAGUCCCAAGCCACUGAUUCGAAGGCCGAGCCUGUGGAACUCAAUGCAGAAACCCGAAAGAGUCAUUACCCCAAACUGUAAGUGCUGCAUGUUUUCACUUGUGUCAUUUUAUCAGUAUCACCAUUGUUAUGGCCAUGAAUUUUAGUCCUGAAUCUAAUUUAUCGGAAUUUGGAUUCCUGGGGGCGACUGAUCAGUAUGGAAAAUAGGAAAAGCACUCUGAAUGGUUUUCGUGAGCAUCACGGGCUUCCCCGAAGGCAGCGUGAGCAGGGGCGGCUUGGUCAGCAGUGGUGGAGCAUGUAUGUAUUUUUAUCACUGUAUAUAUAGGGAGAGAGGUCUAGUUGUCCCCCCCCCCCACACACAUAUAGAGAGAGAAGUCUAUUUGUCGUAAAAGUGACUGAAAGGGUAUAAUUAUAAAUUUGACAUCAAUCCAACAACAGCUCACAAAGCAUGCCAUUGAUCUCACGGGCUACAUCAGCUCACAAAGCAUGGACCAAACUGGCCACCAUCUAUGUCAAUCAAUCUCGGACAAGAAUUAUGGACCUUAAAGAUUACCUUGCUGAGGUUACAAAAGGCUCAAAAUCUGUCAGAGUAUAUGCAAAUAGUCCAAAUUAUCAAAGAUGAACUGGCCAUCAUUAAUGUUCCUAUUGAUGAAAGUGAUCUUACCAGUAGAGUACUUCGCAACCUUAGUUUAGAUUUCAAAGAAAUAUCUGUUGCCAUACUAUCAAGAGACACAUCAAUAACCUUUGCAGAGCUCCAUAACAGACUUGUGGAACAUGAAGGUUUCCUUAAGCUCGAGGAAAAGCAUUGAGGAAUUCUAUCGCUACUAACUACUCUCAACAUAAUGACAAUUACAAGUUUUGUGGCAAUCAAUUCUUUAAUAAGGACAAUCAUUCUUCUUCUCAGAUCAACAACCAUGUUAUUGGUGCUUAAUCUUUCAGCGCCAAUCAGAAUCGACAUCACCUAAAUAAGAACUAGAAGCCUCAAGUCUUGCCAAUACAAUGAUAAGGCAUGUCAUACAGCAAAGCAAUGCUACAAAAUUUGAAAGCCUCCCAACCCCAUGGCUUAAAUAACUAAAAUUGGUUAAUGAAAUACUGAAGCAUCUCAUCACAUUACUUUCAACCUCAAUAAUCUGUUAAUCCCACUUAGAACAUAAUGAAGGUGAUGAUAUUUUGUUGGGCAACGGUAAGAGCAUUCCUAUAACACACAUAGGUUCUGUUUCUUUAAAAACUCCUUCCAAAAACUGUACCUCAAUUUUCUUCGUAUUCCUUUCAUUAACAAAAACUUAGUAUUCAUUUCUUAACUUUGCAAACACAAUAAUACAUAGUUGAAUUUUUUUCCCAGUUGCUUUGUUGUUAAGGAUAUGAGCACAGGGGCACUACUGAUAUGAGGAACAAACAAGGGAAAUGUCUAUUUGUGGCCUUCAACCUGACCUAUCUGCCAUUAUCACCCCACAAGCUAUGACUGGAAUAAGAAUGUAGAAUCACAACUGGCAUAGACUUGUAAGACAUCCAUCCACCAAAGUCUUUUCUCAUCUUUGUUCUUCCAAACUUUUACUUUUCUCCUCCAAUAUCACAAGCUCUAUGCAUUUUCACUCUUGCUCAUGCAAUAAAAAUCAUAAAUUAUCUUUUGGUGUCUAUUCUUUCUAGCUCCAAACCCCUAAACUUGAUUUAUAUUCUUUCUAGUAAGAGAAUAUGAAUAAGGGAUCAAGUAAAUGGGGAUUAUAUAUAAUCGAUGAAUAGAAAAUACUUGUAGACAAACAAAAUUGGAUUCAAAGGAAAUCAAUAAAUGGAGAGGCUAGGGUUUUUUGAAUCAAGCCAAGGUGUAAUUGAUCGAUUUGAUACAAGCUCUAUUAGAUCUCCCUAUUAAGUGAGCUCAGUUGGAGAAUAAUUCUAUAAAAGCUAUAAUUUGAACACAAUAGCAAUUCAGUAGUCCUACAACUUUGUAUCGAGUUUAUGCGCAAUGAAUGCAGUAACAAGGAAACUUCUCUCUCUUUACAUCUCCAUUUUGGAGCCAAGCUAGCCCACCAAAACUAUUGCCUAGGACACUUAGGACCUCCACAUUAAGCCUUAAGAAGAUUAGAAGGAACUUAGUUGCAUACUACAUGUGUCAUGCACCCCCAAAAUCUAUCUUUAAAUAAACACACACACAAAAAUAAUAAAUAAAUAAAUAAAGGGGGGAAAAAAAAAGAAGGAAAGUUAUGUUGUCAACUUUCACACAAACUAGUUUGAUAUUGCUAAUGACAAUUUGGUGCAUACUUAUUACAAGAGUUGAACUAGAAUGAUCCUCUGAAACUGCAUUCUGAACUCAUUCUAUUGGUUUUUCUUUUUUUCUUUUUUUCUUUUUUCCUUUUUUACCUUAUAAUUUCUGCAGAUACCACCCCCUUAAGAAAUUGAAGGAGUUGAAUAGAAAGAAAGAUAUUGUGUGCCUUAUCUUAUCAUAUCCUCCUAUGAAUUCAGCUAACAAAGAGAGACACAAGAACUGGGUUCGGGAUGUUUUGAAGAUAAAUCACAAACUAAGGGAAAUGGAAACAUUUUCAAGCCAGCAAAAGACGAGUUUUUCAGAGCUAUCUUCUGAAAUCACUACACUGCUGGAUCAUUCACUCGAUGAUAUUGAAGCUUAUGUUCCACCAAUGAUCAUUGAGAAGAUGUGUGAGAAAACUUUGCAAGUAACAGAGCCUGAUGAAAAAUUACGUAAUUUGGCUGUUAAUUUUGCUACUCGCCAAAUUCUAGAAGAAAUAGAAAAUCCUGAGGUCCGGAGGAUCAGGAUUUCAGAAAGAGAUGGGAUCAGAGUAACAUCAGCAGUGAAAGAUCUACCUCAGAUACGAAAAAGGUUUAAUAUCAUCAUUCAGGUUGAUGCCUCAUCAUAUCCAAAUAUUAAAGGCAUUGAAGAGAAUAUCGCAACACAAUUAGGCUUCUCAUUGGACAUUUGGGUGUUAAAUAGCAUCUUGAAAAACACCAGUUUCUUAAUCUUUCUGGAUGACCUUUAUGAAAGGAUCGAUCUGUAUGAAGUGGGAAGAAAGUGGUGGAACUCAAAGAACAUUCAAAAGAUAGUUUGUUCGACUGGAUCCCAUGAAGUUCAUCAAAGAAUGGCAGUGGAUCGACAGAUCAGGUUGGAGGAUCAUCUGUUAUCUUGGGAAUUAUUUUGUUUGAAUGUUGGCAAAAUUGUGCAUUCUUCAAGUUUCCAACACAGAGCCAUUGAUGUGGUUCAAAAGUGUUCUGGCCAUUUACUUGCUGUUGCUCUAAUGGCAAGAGCUUUGAAAAUGGUCUUCGAUGUCAGCAUCUGGGAACAUGCAUCUUAUAUACUAAGCUUGUCUCACAGAUCUCAGUCGAAAGACACAGUUUUGUAUAAUGCAUUAGCUUUCAUUCUGGGGCGUUCAGGUUCAGCAGAUAAAUGUGUAAACUACUGUGCAUUUUACAUGGAGAGGGAAGGAGUGGACAAAGUUGAUUUGAUUCAGGAGUGGAUCAGACAUGCCUUAAUCAGCACAUUUGAUGAAGGAGAAAAAAUUGUUCACGAUCUUGUCAGUGCCUUCUUGUUAGAGAGUUUUCAGAAUGGAUAUUUUGUCCAAAUGCGGGAUGAAAUCCGUGAGGUGUUAGUAAAUUCACAAUUUCUUUUGCAAGGUGGAAAGGGUCUUACUAAGGCACCAAAAGAUGAGGCAUGGGAGGAAGCCAGUGAAAUCCAUUUGAUGAAUAAUAAAUUUUCUGAGCUGCCAAAGAGUCCAAAUUGUCCCCAACUCUGUGCAUUGUUCUUACAAAAGAACCCUUCUUUGCGAGUUAUUCCUCCACUUUUCUUUCAACAUAUGCCUAUACUCCAAAUCCUAGACUUGUCACAUACUAAAAUAAGAUCAUUACCUCAAUCUCUUUAUGGGUUGGCACAACUGCAAAGACUCUUUUUGAGAGGCUGUAAACUCUUCAUGGAGCUGCCACCUGAAGUCGGAAAACUCAGUAAUCUUAAGGUGCUUGAUCUUGAGGGGACUGAAAUUGUAAGGCUACCUGUGGAUGUUGGAAAAUUGACAAAUUUAACUUGCUUGAAAAUGUCAUUUUG